AGCAGCCGCGGUAAUUCCAGCUCCAAUAGCGUAUAUUAAAGUUGUUGCAGUUAAAAAGCUCGUAGUUGAAUUUCGGGGUCAAUAAGUUGGUCAUGCCAAUGGUAUGCACUGGCUUUAUUGAUUCCUACCUCUUGACGAACUGUGAUGCCAUUAAUUUGGUGUUGCAAGGAAACAGGACUGUUACCUUGAAAAAAUUAGAGUGUUUAAAGCAAGCUUAUGCUUGAAUACAUUAGCAUGGAAUAAUGAAAUAGGACGUUUGAUCCUAUUUUGUUGGUUUCUAGGAUCGACGUAAUGAUUAAUAGGGAUAGUUGGGGGCAUUAGUAUUCAAUUGUCAGAGGUGAAAUUCUUGGAUUUAUUGAAGACUAACUACCGCGAAAGCAUUUGCCAAGGAUGUUUUCAUUAAUCAAGAACGAAAGUUAGGGGAUCGAAGACGAUCAGAUACCGUCGUAGUCUUAACCAUAAACUAUGCCGACUAGGGAUCGGAUGAUGUUAAUUUUUAGUGUACUCAU
rnacentral:rRNA from 1 species